UACAGAGGGGGCAAGCGUUGUUCGGAAUUACUGGGCGUAAAGGGCGCGUAGGCGGCCUUCUAAGUCGAACGUGAAAUCCCCGGGCUCAACCCGGGAACUGCGUCCGAUACUGGAAGGCUUGAAUCCGGGAGAGGGAUGCGGAAUUCCAGGUGUAGCGGUGAAAUGCGUAGAGAUCCGGAGGAACCCCAGAGGCGAAGGCGGCGCCCUGGCUCGCAACUGACGCUCAGACACGACAGCAUGGGGAGCGAACGGG
rnacentral:rRNA from 1 species